rnacentral:misc_RNA from 1 species
GAUGAAGAACGUAGCGAAAUGCGAUACUUGGUGUGAAUUGCAGAAUCCCGUGAACCAUCGAGUCUUUGAACGCAAGUUGCGCCUCAAGCCAUUAGGUUGAGGGCACGUCUGCCUGGGCGUCACAUAUCGUUGCCUGAUGCCAGUUUCCUCGUGAUGGGUGACUGUGCAGGGCGAAUGAUGGCUUCCCGUGAGCAUUGUUGCCUCAUGGUUGGUUGAAAAUUGAGUCCUUGGUAGGGAGCGCCGUGAUAGAUGGUGGUUGAGUGACGAACGAGACCCAAUCAUGUGAGACCCCUACCGAAUUUGGCCUUCAUGACCCACAUGCUUCUUUGGAACGCUCAUGACGAGACCUCAGGUCAGGCGGGGCUACCCGCUGAGUUUAAGCAUAUCAAUAAGCGGAGGA